UCAGGUGAAAGUGAUUAUGAUGCAUGGACUGGGGCUCCUUUACUCUGCAAAAGUGGAAUAUUGAUGGGAAAGUUGAACUUCAGCCCUGAGUUUGAAGGUGUUAAUUGCUUGACAUUCUGAAUUAGGUGGUAUGGAAGAUUACAAUGUCAUCAAAGCAUUGACUGGCUUCAGUGUGGUUGUUCUACUCUGCAAAUCUACGAAAGUUGGUGAUUGUCUCUGGAGUUGUCCUGGAU